GACGAACGCUGGCGGCGUGCUUAACACAUGCAAGUCGAACGGAAACGCCCUGCUUUUGUGGGGUGCUCGAGUGGCGAACGGGGAAGUAACACGUAAGUAACCUACCCUUGACUUUGGGAUAACUUCAGGAAACUGGGGCUAAUACCGGAUAGGAGCUCCCGCUGCAUGGUGGGGGUGGGAAAGUUGCGGCGGGUGGGGAUGGACUCGCGGCUUAUCGGCUUGUUGGUGGGGUAGUGGCUUACCAAGGCUUUGACGGGUAGCCGGCCUGGGAGGGUGACCGGCCACAAUGCGACUGAGAUACGGCCCAGACUCGAACGGGAGGCAGCAGUGGGGAAUAUUGCACAGUGGGCGGAAGCCUGAUGCAGCAACGCCGCGUGCGGGAAGACGUCCUGCGGGUUGUAAACCGCUUCAGCCUGAGACGAAGCGUUAGUGACGGUAACGGGUGAAGAAGCACCGGCUAACUACGUG
rnacentral:rRNA from 1 species